rnacentral:rRNA from 1 species
UCGAGUAGGACGGAGCACGAGAAACUUUGUCUGAAUAUGGGGGGACCAUCCUCCAAGGCUAAAUACUACUGACUGACCGAUAGUGAACCAGUACCGUGAGGGAAAGGCGAAAAGAACCCCGGAGAGGGGAGUGAAAUAGAACCUGAAACCGUAUGCGUACAAGCAGUGGGAGCCUACUUUGUUAGGUGACUGCGUACCUUUUGUAUAAUGGGUCAGCGACUUAUAUUCAGUGGCGAGCUUAACCGAAUAGGGGAGGCGUAGCGAAAGCGAGUCUUAAUAGGGCGUUUAGUCGCUG